rnacentral:rRNA from 1 species
AUUGAACGCUGGCGGCAUACUUUACACAUGCAAGUCGAACGGUAACAGGUUAAGCUGACGAGUGGCGAACGGGUGAGUAAUGCAUCGGAACGUGCCCGAUCGUGGGGGAUAACGCAGCGAAAGCUGCGCUAAUACCGCAUACGAUCUGAGGAUGAAAGCGGGGGACCGUAAGGCCUCGCGCGAUCGGAGCGGCCGAUGUCAGAUUAGGUAGUUAGUGGGGUAAAGGCUCACCAAGCCGACGAUCUGUAGCUGGUCUGAGAGGACGACCAGCCACACUGGGACUGAGACACGGCCCAGACUCCUACGGGAGGCAGCAGUGGGGAAUUUUGGACAAUGGGCGCAAGCCUGAUCCAGCAAUGCCGCGUGCAGGAAGAAGGCCUUCGGGUUGUAAACUGCUUUUGUACGGAGCGAAAAGGCUCUCUCUAAUACAGGGGGCUCAUGACGGUACCGUAAGAAUAAGCACCGGCUAACUACGUGCCAGCAGCCGCCGUAA